AGCAACCAAUCAUAGUCCUCGCCGGGCCGCAGGCCACCGCCGGCUCCACCUCAGCUGCAGGUUUGGGCUCCCGACCAAGUUUUCCUGCAAAGUUGGGUAGCGCCAAGGCCGCUGCGGAAUUAUCAUCUUUUUCUAUGGAGAAGUUUGUUUUAACCACUUAAUGGUGUUAAUUUAGUUUGACACCAGAUUUCUAAAAGGAAGAGUUUGCUUUCAUUUUGAUCUUAGAGAGGAAAUGAUUACUGAUGCACUGUUGGUUUUGUUUCUUUUUUUAGAUUGCUUUACCAAAACCGGAGAGAUUUGAAUUAUGGGUGGGGCAUGGCCCGGGUGCAGCAGUACUCUCCCAUUCCCGUCCCACGCGCGCGCCUUUCAGUAUUUUGGAAGCUCAGACCUCAUAAAAACAAAAGCCAUAAAGGGAAGUGUCCUGCAAGAGCCUUCAGCUUUCAGACCUAUGAUACACACUCGGAUAUGGAAGCACUCACCUCCAAACUGUCAUCACAGAACCAAAGAGAAAAAUACUUUGUAAAAAGCAGGAUCUUUCUCCACUAUUUGUGAUAAUAAACAAUUAUGUUAAUAAAAGCAUAUGGAAUACUUUAA